AACUUUUAGCAAUGGAUCUCUUGGCUCUCGCAUCGAUGAAGAACGCAGCGAAAUGCGAUAAGUAAUGCGAAUUGCAGAGCAGUGAGUCAUCGAAUCUUUGAACGCACAUUGCGCCCUUUGGCAUUCCGAAGGGCAUGCCUGUUCGAGCGUCAUUAUCAACCCUCAAGCCUGGCUUGCUGUUGGACCUUCGUCGUUAAAGACGGGUCCCAAAGACAAUGACGGAGUCAGUCGGACCCCUAGAUGCAACGAGCUUUUAUUAGCACGCAUUGAUGGACCGAUUGUUCUGGUCUACACCAAAUUUUUCUAAGGUUGACCUCGGAUCAGGUAGGAAUACCCGCUGAACUUAAGCAUAUCAAUAAGCGGAGGCU
rnacentral:misc_RNA from 1 species